rnacentral:lncRNA from 1 species
UCUGGUUGCACGAAGAAAUAACCUCGUAUGCAUUAGGCGGAGAAUCAUUGUCCGGAAAAUUUUCCGAUUCGAUUCAAAAUUAUAUUUUUUCGACUGGACUGGUACAUUUUUUUUUACCACUACUGAUUUAACUUGCUCCUGUCCGGAAAAUUUUCCGAUCCGAUUGAAUUUUAUAUUUUUUCGACUGGAAUGGUACAAAUUUUUUACCAUUACUUAUUUACUUUGCUCCUUCUUUCGCGCCAAAAUAUUUGGCAGAGUUAAAGUUCUUGAUUACUGUGAUAUGUAACCAAAUUAUAGCGCCACCUGGAGGAUAGAACUUCUUUGUGUCGCGGAUCACUACAAUUCCGGCCAACAAUUUAAGAAGAAUUUCUCCGUAGUGCAUACGAGGCUAUUGUACUGCGUAGCGAGAAUGGCCGAGUAGUUACGAUUGAU